GAUGAACGCUAGCGGCAGGCCUAACACAUGCAAGUCGAGGGGUAACAUAGAAAAGCUUGCUUUUCUGAUGACGACCGGCGCACGGGUGCGUAACGCGUAUACAACCUACCUUUUAGCGGGGAAUAGCCCAGGGAAACUUGGAUUAAUGCCCCAUAGUAUAUAGACUUCUCCUGAAGUUUAUAUUAAACAUUUAUGGCUAUUAGAUGGGUAUGCGUCCUAUUAGUUAGUUGGUAAGGUAACGGCUUACCAAGGCAGCGAUAGGUAGGGGUCCUGAGAGGGAGAUCCCCACACUGGUACUGAGACACGGACCAGACUCCUACGGGAGGCAGCAGUGAGGAAUAUUGGACAAUGGGCGAGAGCCUGAUCCAGCCAUGCCGCGUGCAGGAAGACUGCCCUAUGGGUUGUAAACUGCUUUUGCAGAGGAAGAACCACCCUCACGUGUGGGGGUUUGACGGUACUCUGCGAAUAAGGAUCGGCUAACUCCGUG
rnacentral:rRNA from 1 species